AGGCAGCCUCUCUGGUACGGCCCCGCGCCGAGAGGGGCGUUUAACCGCUCGGACAUCAACGCCUUUCGCUCUUCAGACUCGCUGAGACGGUCACGUCUCUGAAGCCGGUCUAGUAAGCCAAAGCACAUC
rfam:Eucalyptus grandis cultivar BRASTZ1 unplaced genomic scaffold scaffold_3, whole genome shotgun sequence.